ensembl:snRNA U6 U6 spliceosomal RNA
GUGGUCAUGGUUAACAUCACCAGGUUAUUGGAACGAUACAGAGAAGAUUAGCAUGGCCCCUGCACAAGGAUGACAUGCAAAUUCGUGAAGCGUCCUAUAUUUAA